CAUAUCCUAGAGCCUCUCUUUCUUCUUAGUAUUGCUGAAAUUAGAUUUCAGCAAAGGAGUUCUUAAAGAAGCCCUAGUCUUGCUAUAUUUCUCAAAGAGUUAAUAAGAAUCUUCGAUUAAGCAAAGGUUCCACAAAGCAACUAGCACCCUGGAGAACUAGAUCAUUGCAAAUCAGCCCUCUGACUCCAUGUAGAUACUCCUAGAGGCUGAGCACUUGCAUGGCUGUAAGGAAAGGAAUAAAUUCAUAAUC
rnacentral:lncRNA from 1 species